rnacentral:lncRNA from 1 species
AUGGAUUCAUUUCAGCUAUCGGGUGGCAACACCAGCUCUGGCGUCUCAUCACUGCAACUGAGGUUCAGCCCCUUUACAGCGACGCAACUCGGAUCUGCGAAUGCACUCAGAGGUCACCCAGGUGCCUGCAGUCAGCAAUUCACCAACUCAACGGAACCACUCAAGCAAGAUCCCUCAUCAUAUGUUAAUGGCGAGGGACAUCAGUCUUGAGAACAUUGCUGCCUUUCCCACUGGAUUUGCUGCUCUCUGAAUCAAAUCAGAAGUCCAGGAAAAUGUGGCUUGGUCCAACAUGGCCCCUUAUUUCCUAAAAUACAAGCACCAGUUCAGGGCUUAGGUGGUGGUACCUCUAGGGCUACUGAAUCUGUCUGGAAGGGAAUCACCAUGAGGCUUCCACCCCAUUUCACUGCCCCUCCACAUUCCCUCCUAUCAUGGUGCUGUCAUCACCACUGGUGGAGAGACUUCUCCCUGCAGAUGUGGAUACUUGAGGAAAUAGCCCAGGGAAAGAAGGCUGAUCACUGGGUUGAGUCAGUCACUCCGUAUUAAGAUGCUCUGUUUUGGUCGAUAUUCAUCGAGAUUUCCCUGGAAUUUUCAAUAUGUCUUUCUGUCCAGAGAUUUAAUUCUCUCAAAGAUGUUUAGGCAACCCUCGUCGAAAUUUUGAUUGAAACAUCUCAACCAAAGCAAACCACAUGGCACAUUCCCCAAAAAUCUAUAAAAUAAUGAAUCUAAGUCCGAAGCUUCCUCAGCACAGCCUAAGCUCCUCAAGGUGGGAGGCGGGGAGAGAGGGGCCACAUGUUUUACCAUUUGACAUCCAUGACAUGCCUAGUGCAGGUGUUCGUCAGACAUAUGAAACAAUUUGUUGCUGAAAACAACCUAUUCUCCCCACAGUGGGGGCAACCAGCCCCUUGAGUCCAAAAAUAGAGGGGCCUCCUUCAUCCCCUCCCUAUUUCUACAUGCUCUCUCUUUUUUGAGUAUCCUGCUCUUUAAAUGGGGGACCUAGAGCACAAAGUAGGUGGGAAGGGGAAGUUUGGGUUGAAGUCAACAUCUCCCGUCCUCAAGGGCUUAUCGCCAGGCUUGAAGUGAAAAGUCUAAAUCUGAGAUAUUCCUGAUUUUUCAGUCACUAGUGGCAGUGGUAUUCCUCCCUACUACAUAGUUUGGUAUAAAGCAUUUUCUUCUGCUAUAUGUAUAAAUGGGCAGACUAAAUUUGACAGUGAGUUAAUGAUUGGUGAUUCCUGUUGAUAUUUUCAGAGUCAACUGAUAUACUCCAAGCAGCAUGCAGUCUGUGAGUAAGGAGCCAAAAAAAAGGACUUCUUAGAGAACCUGUAAAGAAUCAGUCAUGACACCAGGCAUGUGUAAGCUACACCAGUAGAGACUGGCAGUCCUGAAAGGAAAAGCAAAAAUCCCUAUGAGGCAAUACAUGUCGAAAGAUAUAAUGAUUCCCAGGCUACUUGUUCAAUAGCAAUUUCCCAAACAGAAGGAUUAACAUUAACUCUAACAGGCUCCAGUCUGACGGAGCUAGUCAGAGCUGGUCUGGGGUUGGUGCAUUCUUUCCUCUUUCACACCUACUUCAAGAAGGCUGUGUCUGCCAACUGGCAGUGGGACAGAAAAGCUGACUUAAUUAGUAGUGGAACUCCUGAAGGCAAUAGCCAGUCUUGCUCUCCACAUUGCAGGUGGGGGUGGGGGUGUGGGGUUAGGGGAGAAUUCCUAUUAACCCAUUAGGGACUGAAAUUAUGAUCGUCACAACUCAAAGUAAGUGCAAAGAUAGACUUCUUGGGGUUGAGGUUGUGAGACACUGGCUUUGAUUGUGAAAUAUGCCUAUCUAGUGAUGAUGCUCCUCAAAACUCUCCAGUGGUGGAUAAUUCCUCUCCACAUUAAGCAAAGAUUCCUAACAAUUGACUUUAAGGCAUUCAAAUAGCUCUUUCUCUCCUAUUUAUCCUUCCUCCCUUCCCAUUACUACUCCCCACUAAAGAGCUCAGUUCACACUCUUAACUCCUUCCAAGGCAACCUAUUCACCGCGUCUCAUUCUCUCAUCUCUGUCACAUACUUUCCUGCUUUCCUGGAACUCUUUCCUACUUCACAUCUGGCAGACCACUGCUCUCUCCAUCAGCAAAAUCCUUCUCAAUUUCAUCUGCCGGAGAAAGCCUCCCCUCAUUAAUCCCUCAGUUCGCCGCCCUAUUUCUCCCCCUACUGACAUUCCAGCACUUCCAUUUCACCUAAACUCUUGGAUAGACCUUCACCUAGCACUGCUACCCAACUACCUGUAAUUUAUGUUAGUUCCUGUUUCCCCUGCAUACAAUGUAUCAGGCUCAAGAAUCUCUGCUGAGGAAUUGAUUAAAGCAAAACUGGUCUGCACAGCACCAGUCACAAUCUCUCACCUGCCCAGAGUCCCUUCCAACUGAGGUAUGGAGUACAGUGAUGCAGUGUCCUGCAAAGAGCACCCAAUUUUUUGUUGUUGUUUGAGGGACCCAUUUACAGGUGAAGUGGACAUAGCAUAGUGUCGAUGUUGUGUCAGAGCUCUCUAACUUGGCAGGCGACUGCUGCUUUGGAAGUUAAUCGCUGUGGUCUUCACAGCCUAUGUUAGCCAUUACUUUUCUCGAUUCUUGCUGAUUAUGUCCAUCUUUCAGAACACUUCAAGGUAGGCUCCAUAAUAAUAACAUAACUCCAUACUAAGAAUUAUUAUUGUGGUAUUUUUUUAAAUACAUACUUGAAAAGCAGUAUGGCUUAGUGGCAAGAUCUUGAGCCUGGUAAUAAGAGGACCUGGGUACUAAUCUUGGCUUCUCCACUUACCUCCUGUGUGACCUUGGACAAGUCAUUUCACUUCUUUGUGCCUCAGUCCCCCAUCUGCAAAAUGGGGAUCCGAUACCUAUUCUCACUCCUACUUAGACUGUGAGCCCCAUCUGGGACCUGAUGAUCUUGUAUCUACCCCAGUGCUUAGUAUAGUGCUUGGCACAUACUAAGCACUUAACAAUUAAUACAGUUAUUACAAUUAUUGUCAUUAUUAUUAUUACUACUACUAUGUGCCAAGCACUGGGGGCAAGAUAAUCAGGUCAGAAAAAGUCCCUUUCCCAAAUGGGACUCACAAUCUAAGUAGGAGGGAGUACAUCCAUUUAAUCCCCAUUUUGCAGAUGAGGAAACUGAGGCACAGAGAAGUUAAUUGAUUUGCCCAAGGUCACACAACAGGUUAGUCGUGAAACUUGUAUUAGACCUCAGGUAUCUGACUCCCAGACCCAUGUUCUUUCCAUUAAGCCAAGCUCCAAUAGAAGAAUUCCUAGUUGUAGAGCUGGGACUAGAACCCAGGCUUCCUGAUUCCCAGAGUCAUGCUCUUUCCCAUGAAACAGCUGAACAGCAGAUGCUAGACAUUGUGUGAAAUGCUUCAGAAUUGUUAAGUGAAAUUUGACCUGACACAGAAUGUUCUACACAAGCACUUAAUAUUUCCCAGCUGCUUUUUUGUUUAAGUUCCAUGGGUUUGGGGGGAAAAUAGCUUCCUUGUACCAAGGGAAGUUCACCUCUCUCAGUUAUUCAGUUGUUCAUUCUUUCAUUUAAUCAUAUUUAUUGAGCACUUACUGUGUGCAGAGCACUGUACUAGGAGCUUGGAAAGUAUAAUUUGGCAACAGAUUAAAAAAAACCCUACCCAACAACGGGCUCACAGUCUAGAAGAGGGAGACAGACAACAAAACAAAACAAGUUUAGAAUUGAGUGUUCCUUUUGUCACAUUGCUACCUUCACACUCUACUGGCUUUGUUUCCCAUUAUUCCCGACACUCCAAUUACAACAUCUCUGACCACAGUGAAAACCUCAUACAGCAUCUCAUCUGCCCUCAGUUUCUGCAACAUGAUACUUUGACCAGUUAAAGAUCAUCAAGUGCUCUUUCCUGUUUUGUGACUAAAUAUUUAAAAAGCUAAAUGAUGUUAGAUGUUUUUCUUCUAUUGAAAAAGAAGCCACAACUUUGCAGCACUAAAGAGGAACAAUGUUCUUUCUAUUUUUCUUGUCUGCCAAGAAGGGAAAGGGGAGCUAAUAAAUAUUAAAAGCUUUGGAACCAGAAUGAGUAACAGUGUUUUUCUGCUCUUUUAUGUUGUGCAUCUUCUUUUUUCUUCUGGUCAU